rnacentral:rRNA from 1 species
CAUGCAGUCGAGCGGUAGCACAGAGAGCUUGCUCUCGGGUGACGAGCGGCGGACGGGUGAGUAAUGUCUGGGAAACUGCCUGAUGGAGGGGGAUAACUACUGGAAACGGUAGCUAAUACCGCAUAACGUCGCAAGACCAAAGUGGGGGACCUUCGGGCCUCAUGCCAUCAGAUGUGCCCAGAUGGGAUUAGCUGGUAGGUGGGGUAACGGCUCACCUAGGCGACGAUCCCUAGCUGGUCUGAGAGGAUGACCAGCCACACUGGAACUGAGACACGGUCCAGACUCCUACGGGAGGCAGCAGUGGGGAAUAUUGCACAAUGGGCGCAAGCCUGAUGCAGCCAUGCCGCGUGUGUGAAGAAGGCCUUCGGGUUGUAAAGCACUUUCAGCGGGGAGGAAGGCGGUGAGGUUAAUAACCUCAUCGAUUGACGUUACCCGCAGAAGAAGCACCGGCUAACUCCGUGCCAGCAGCCGCGGUAAUACGGAGGGUGCAAGCGUUAAUCGGAAUUACUGGGCGUAAAGCGCACGCAGGCGGUCUGUCAAGUCGGAUGUGAAAUCCCCGGGCUCAACCUGGGAACUGCAUUCGAAACUGGCAGGCUAGAGUCUUGUAGAGGGGGGUAGAAUUCCAGGUGUAGCGGUGAAAUGCGUAGAGAUCUGGAGGAAUACCGGUGGCGAAGGCGGCCCCCUGGACAAAGACUGACGCUCAGGUGCGAAAGCGUGGGGAGCAAACAGGAUUAGAUACCCUGGUAGUCCACGCUGUAAACGAUGUCGAUUUGGAGGUUGUGCCCUUGAGGCGUGGCUUCCGGAGCUAACGCGUUAAAUCGACCGCCUGGGGAGUACGGCCGCAAGGUUAAAACUCAAAUGAAUUGACGGGGGCCCGCACAAGCGGUGGAGCAUGUGGUUUAAUUCGAUGCAACGCGAAGAACCUUACCUGGUCUUGACAUCCACAGAACUUUCCAGAGAUGGAUUGGUGCCUUCGGGAACUGUGAGACAGGUGCUGCAUGGCUGUCGUCAGCUCGUGUUGUGAAAUGUUGGGUUAAGUCCCGCAACGAGCGCAACCCUUAUCCUUUGUUGCCAGCGGUUAGGCCGGGAACUCAAAGGAGACUGCCAGUGAUAAACUGGAGGAAGGUGGGGAUGACGUCAAGUCAUCAUGGCCCUUACGACCAGGGCUACACACGUGCUACAAUGGCAUAUACAAAGAGAAGCGACCUCGCGAGAGCAAGCGGACCUCAUAAAGUAUGUCGUAGUCCGGAUUGGAGUCUGCAACUCGACUCCAUGAAGUCGGAAUCGCUAGUAAUCGUAGAUCAGAAUGCUACGGUGAAUACGUUCCCGGGCCUUGUACACACCGCCCGUCACACCAUGGGAGUGGGUUGCAAAAGAAGUAGGUAGCUUAACCUUCGGGAGGGCG